GCCUCAAUAGCUCAAUUGGUUAGAGCAUGGAGUUGAUAACGCAAAGGUUGCAGAUUUGAUCGCUAUAUGGGACA